UACGUAGGGUGCGAGCGUUAAUCGGAAUUACUGGGCGUAAAGCGUGCGCAGGCGGUUUUGUAAGUUCUGUCGUGAAAGCCCCGGGCUCAACCUGGGAACUUGCGAUGGAGACUGCAAGGCUUGAAUCUGGCAGAGGGGGGUAGAAAUUUCCAACGUUGUAGCAGGUGAAAUGCGUAGAGAUGUGGAGGAACACCGAUGGCGAAGGCAGCCCCCCUGGGUCAAGAUUGACGCUCAUGCACGAAAGCGUGGGAGCAAACAGG
rnacentral:rRNA from 1 species